rnacentral:lncRNA from 1 species
CUUCACCCUCAGACGACAACCCGAGCGAACUGAUUGCAAGAACGAGAUUUGCUUGCUAGCAAUCUGCUCGAGUGUCGAGGAUUCCUGUCCUGAUAGAAUUCCAAAACGUUACUUCAAGAUGAACAAUUGCAUGGCAACCAUUAUUUCAAUCGCCCUCCUUCUGGGUA